rnacentral:rRNA from 1 species
CAAGCCCUGGAAACGGGGUCUAAUACCGGAUAUGACGCACGACCGCAUGGUCUGUGUGUGGAAAGCUCCGGCGGUGCAGGAUGAGCCCGCGGCCUAUCAGCUUGUUGGUGGGGUAGUGGCCUACCAAGGCGACGACGGGUAGCCGGCCUGAGAGGGCGACCGGCCACACUGGGACUGAGACACGGCCCAGACUCCUACGGGAGGCAGCAGUGGGGAAUAUUGCACAAUGGGCGAAAGCCUGAUGCAGCGACGCCGCGUGAGGGAUGACGGCCUUCGGGUUGUAAACCUCUUUCAGCAGGGAAGAAGCGAGAGUGACGGUACCUGCAGAAGAAGCACCGGCUAACUACGUGCCAGCAGCCGCGGUAAUACGUAGGGUGCGAGCGUUGUCCGGAAUUAUUGGGCGUAAAGAGCUCGUAGGCGGCUUGUCACGUCGGUUGUGAAAGCCCGGGGCUUAACCCCGGGUCUGCAGUCGAUACGGGCAGGCUAGAGUUCGGUAGGGGAGAUCGGAAUUCCUGGUG